GAAAAGUUGUUGGGCUGGGUUUCUUCCCUUUAUGCAUCUUCACAGUUGUAGCCAUUUCUGGGAUUUCUCCUGAUGCUGUUACACGUCUUGUCGGCUGGAGAGUCCCUGCCUUUGUUUUAAGAUCACUUUCCACUUUGCAUUUGCAAACUUCCUGGCAAGAACAUGUUGGAACACUCAGAGAACAUGACAAGACCUUGGAUUUACCCAUUUCAAUACCUAAGCUGCCAGUUGAGUUCCUUCUCAAAUAGCCAAUUCCAGACUCAAUUUUAUCCAGGUUUGCUGGCAUGCCAACAUCCGUUUUCUUGCUCGACUCAUAAGAUGCAAUGUCCUUAUCCAUCCUGCUUCUCGUGUUUGUUUUGGUGAUUGCAUCAUCCAAUAUAGACCCCUGAAGUGUUGGCAAACCCCCUGUUAUAAGACUGUCACUGUAUCUUCUUCUGCUUGGUUUGUUGCUUCUCGACACAUAAUAAGCAUUUUCUUCAAGAGGCUUCAACUUCGAAUCAUUUUGAUGACAUGCAGAAACAGCUAAUUUUUUGGUGCGUGCUUGCAUAUGCUCUCCAUGAGUAGUUUUCAGCCUUCUGAAAUUUGCAGGUAGUUUAUUUGCGCGUAGUGGUUUCUUCCGUAUCUGCCACUUCACAGUUGUAGCCAGUUUUGAAUUUUCUCCUGAUGAUAUCACAGAUCUUGUGGACACGUGAGUCCUUUCCUUUGUUUUACAGUUACUUUCUGCACCAUCUUUGCUAGCAUUAAGCAAAGAACCUGUCGGAACACUCACAUGACGUGGCAAGACCUUGGAGUCAUCCAUUUCAAUACCUAAGUUUCCAGUUGAGUUCCUUCUCAAAUAACUGAGUUCAUGCUCAAUUUUCUCCAAG
rnacentral:lncRNA from 1 species